rnacentral:rRNA from 1 species
AUUGAACGCUGGCGGCAUGCUUUACACAUGCAAGUCGAACGGUAACAGGCCGCAAGGUGCUGACGAGUGGCGCACGGGUGAGUAAUGCAUCGGAACGUGCCCAGUCGUGGGGGAUAACUACUCGAAAGAGUAGCUAAUACCGCAUACGAUCUAUGGAUGAAAGCGGGGGACCGUAAGGCCUCGCGCGAUUGGAGCGGCCGAUGUCAGAUUAGGUGGUUGGUGGGGUAAAGGCUCACCAAGCCAACGAUCUGUAGCUGGUCUGAGAGGACGACCAGCCACACUGGGACUGAGACACGGCCCAGACUCCUACGGGAGGCAGCAGUGGGGAAUUUUGGACAAUGGGCGCAAGCCUGAUCCAGCAAUGCCGCGUGCAGGAAGAAGGCCUUCGGGUUGUAAACUGCUUUUGUACGGAACGAAACGGCUCUGGUUAAUACCCGGGGCUAAUGACGGUACCGUAAGAAUAAGCACCGGCUAACUACGUG